rnacentral:lncRNA from 1 species
GGCCUUGCUCUUAUGUCAUCUGACUAAAAGUUUCAUAGACCAAAGAUAACCAUCCAACCUGUUGGAAUACUGAAACAAUUGCUGCCUGCUUUCCACACACUACAUAAAAUAUGUGGAUAUCCUAAAUUCUACAAAAAAGAUUUGCAAGCAGAUCAAGCAAUACUGGGACUCCCUCUUCUCCAGAAGAGACAUCCUGGCCUCCAUGCAGAGGAAUGUGUGGAUGGACAUAUAUUUAAGGAAAACACUAAACCAGAAAAUACUACAUUACACCCUCUUAAAAGACUUCUAAGAUUGUUGUCAUGCCUACCACUGACAUUCAGAUGAUGUGUAUUCUUGAUUGUGAUUUCAUGUUUGGAGCUGAUGAAGGAGUUUGAAGUCUCCAGAGCAGCAAGGAGAGUGGGGAGUAGAACUCAUCAUCUUUAGGUCACUCAUC